GCUCCUACCAUGGUGGUUUAACUUCAAUGGCAUGGUGGCCACAGGACAAGACAGUGAGUUGGACAUGCCCUUGGCUGUCUCUCAAGUUGUCUCUUAGCUGGACGACAUCUUGAGUCUAUAGUUGAGCGAGUUCAUCUCAGAAGCUGCAUAUCACAGUGCCUUCUCCAGGGAGGACUACUUCUCCCAGAGUCAACUUCUGAGUUAUCUAUCAGAAAAAGAAAGGUAAAAUUCCUUGGCCACCAAACAAGAGAAAAAAGAUAAAGAGGAAAUGGGAGUCUAUACACACUGCUGCUGGGACGAAGAAUGGCAUAGUCACUUUGGAAAGUGGUUAGCAGCUUCCGAGAAUGUUAAACACAUCCUUGUGACAUAACCCAGUGAUUCCACACCAAGGACUCCAUCGGAAAAAUAAUGAACAUGUGUCUACACAGACAAAAACGUAUACUAGAAUCUUUGUAGCAGCACUAUUACUAAAUUCCCUACAGAACAGAUUAUCUGAGUGUCCGUCAACUAAAAUGAAUAAAAUUUGGGGAGCUAUACAACAGA